rnacentral:rRNA from 1 species
AGGACGAAACGCUGGCGGCGUGCUUAACACAUGCAAGUCGAACGGAAAGGCCCUUCGGGGGUACUCGAGUGGCGAACGGGGUGAGUAACACGUGGGCAACCUGCCCCUAGCUCUGGGAUAACACUUGGAAACAGGUGCUAAUACCGGAUAACGACUCGACAAGGCAUCUUGACGAGUCCAAAGUUUUUCGGCUAGGGAUGGGCCCGCGGCCUAUCAGCUUGUUGGUGGGGUAAUGGCCCACCAAGGCAACGACGGGUA